rnacentral:rRNA from 1 species
AUUGAACGCUGGCGGCAGGCCUAACACAUGCAAGUCUAACGAGUGGCGGACGGGUGAGUAAUGUCUGGGACACUGCCUGAUGGAGGGGGAUAACUCCUGGCAACGGUAGCUAAUACCGCAUACCAUCCGAUUUGCCCCGAUGGUAUUAUCUUGUUGGUGGGGUACAGGCUCACCAAGGCGACGAUCCCUAGCUGGUCUGAGAGUAUGACCAGCCACACUGGAACUGAGAGACGGUCCAGACUCCGACGGGAGGCAGCAGUGGGGAAUAUUGCACAAUGGGCGCAAUCCUGAUGCAGCCAUGCCGCGUGUAUGAAGAAGGCCUUCGGGUUGUAAAGUACUUUCAGCGGGGAGGCGUUACCCGCAGAAGAAGCACCGGCUAACUCCGUGCCAGCAGCCGCGGUAAUUC